rnacentral:rRNA from 1 species
AGCUCCAAUAGCGUAUAUUAAAGUUGUUGCAGUUAAAAAGCUCGUAGUUGGAUUUCUGGUGGGAGUGACCGGUCCGUCCGUUUAGGAUGUGUACUAGUUGUCGUCUCUUGCCAUCCUUGGGGAGAACGUGUCUGGCAUUAGGUUGUCGGGUUCGGGAUCCCCAUCCUUUACUGUGAAAAAAUUAGAGUGUUUAAAGCAGGCUUAUGCCGUUGAAUACAUUAGCAUGGAAUAAUAAGAUAGGACUUUGGUGGUCUAUUUUGUUGGUUUGCACGCCAAGGUAAUGAUUAAUAGGGAUGGUUGGGGGUAUCCGUAUUUCGUAGUCAGAGGUGAAAUUCUUGGAUUUACGAAAGACGAACUACUGCGAAAGCAUUUACCAAGGAUGUUUUCAUUAAUCAAGAAC